GAAUAAGCAGGCAGCAUUUAGCCUGAAGAAUCACCAAUUUCUAAGCAAAGAAGAAGCGUUUCAUUUCAUAAAUCUACAGUUUCUUGAAUCAAAAAUCUCACUAGAUCUUAGCAAUACAUGCGGUUACAACCAACAAUCAUGGCACUUCUCUAACAAAAUUGAGAUGGUGAAACCGAUUUAUAUGAGAUAUGUAGAAGACACCCACAGAAGUACAUACGUAAUCAAUGAAGUUGUCACCUCCAAACUCCUUGGCCCUUUGAAUAUGGGAGGAACCACAGACACCAUCAAGAAUGUCCCCAGAAGCCAAGAAAAAAUAAAAGCACCAGCUCCAUAUAGAAAAGCUCGAAGUUUGUUCUUUAACCGAUCAUGAAUGAAAUACAUGGCAGUGAUCAGGGAAAUGGCAACUUGAAGGGUUGGACCUUCUUCAGUAGGAAACAGAACUGUGAGAGCUCCAAGGACUAUGAAAGCAAUGGAAGUUUUCACAAUGAACUUUGUAGCUGGUGUCCUAAACCUGCUAGUAACAGCCUGCACAACACGAGAUUGCUUCAUUUCCCUGACUUUCUUUUUAACGUCAAUUUUUGGGUUCUUUCUAUCAUAGAAUUUCUGCAUUAUUAUUUUAUCAUGGGCAGCUUCAAUUGCAUCCACACUUGGUUUAUGACCAGCAUAUCUUUGUAUUAGGAAGUUCCUAGCAGCUUGGAUUUCAUCCUCGGAAGCUUCUAUAUUGAUUCCAAGUCGUUUGUAUGGGUCCUUCACAUUAAUUCUCGGAAAGAUAGCAGCAGAGUCAUCUGUAGAACCACCAAAAGAAGCUUCCAUUGCACACUUCACUAAAGGCAUUCUUCUUGGGUGAUACUUCUGUGUAGAAACAGUACAAUGACUUCUUGAUCUCCCUAAGUUAGAAACUGAAACUCUCUUCUCACGCAACCCUGGACAUUGUACAGGUAAUUGGAGACAGUAUUUUAUGGGACUAGCAGCUACUCCUGAUGUUGCCAUUGUAGCCCACCUUAGUAUAGUUGACGAACUGAGAAACUGGUGAUUAAAGGGUUUGCUGGGUUCUUCUUCUUGUUGUUAUUGUAGAUUGAGAAAGGGUGAACUCUACGGC
rnacentral:misc_RNA from 1 species